rnacentral:tRNA from 6 species
GGUCACGUGAUGGAGUUGGUCACCAUACCUGUCUAACACACAGGAGGUCGGCAGUUCGAUCCUGCCCGGGAUCA